GUGAACAGGGCUGGCUAAAGUGCAGGUGCAUUUCUGCUCUCUUAUAGACUGCUGCCUCCCUCAUCCUGUAGUUUUUUAGCUGUCUGCUGGUCCAGCUGAUCUGCCCACUACAGCAUUUCUUGAGUGCACAGUCUGAUGUAGAAAAGACAUACAUAACUGCUGUUAUGGAACAGCUAGCAAGUGGAGUGGUGCAGAUAAGUCUGCACCACAUCAUGGGGAUCUUUAUGUAAACUGAGCUACCCUUAACAGCCAACAGAAAGAAACACUUGGAUCGUGCUGCAUAUACGUAGCUGAAAAGGAAGAAGAAUCUGAUGCUGUAUACCUCACCUUGAGGGUGACAGACAGGACAUUUUACUAUAAAUGUUUAUGCAUUAAUAUGCAGAAACCUGUCUUGGUAGGGUUUUUC
rnacentral:lncRNA from 1 species